AUAUUAAUAAGCGGAGGAAAAGAAACUAACAAGGAUUCCCCCAGUAACGGCGAGUGAAGCGGGACCAGCUCAAAUUUGAAAUCUCUGCUGAAGGGCAGCGAAUUGUAGUCUAAAGAGGGAGAGGCAGGAUGGGCGGGUGGACCAAGUCCCCUGGAAUGGGGCGCCAAAGAGGGUGAGAGCCCCGUGACGUCCACCGCGUGUCCGUAGUCUGAUCCUCUCGACGAGUCGAGUUGUUUGGGAAUGCAGCUCAAAGCGGGUGGUAAAUCUCAUCCAAGGCUAAAUACUGGCAAGAGACCGAUAGCGCACAAGUA
rnacentral:rRNA from 1 species